GACGAACGCUGGCGGCGUGCUUAACACAUGCAAGUCGAACGGAAAGGCCCUGCUUUUGUGGGGUGCUCGAUUGGCGAACGGGUGAGUAACACGUGAGUAACCUGCCCUUGACUUUGGGAUAACUUCAGGAAACUGGGGCUAAUACCGGAUAGGAGCUCCUGCUGCAUGGUGGGUGUUGGAAAGUUUCGGCGGUUGGGGAUGGACUCGCGGCUUAUCAGCUUGUUGGUGGGGUAGUGGCUUACCAAGGCUUUGACGGGUAGCCGGCCUGAGAGGGUGACCGGCCACAUUGGGCCUGAGAUACGGCCCAGACUCCUAAGGGCGGCAGCAGUGCGGAAUAUUGCACAAUGGGAGGAAGCCUGAUGCAGCAACGCCGCGUGCGGGAUGACGGCCUUCGGGUUGUAAACCGCUUUCGCCUGUGACGAAGCGUGAGUGACGGUAAUGGGUAAAGAAGCACCGGCUAACUACGUG
rnacentral:rRNA from 1 species